rnacentral:RNase_P_RNA from 1 species
UUUGAGCAGUCGCGGCCGGCCAUGAGCCGGCUGAGGAAAGUCCACGCACGCACGAGCUGCGAUGCUCGUAGUGAUCGUAUUCAGCCCAAUAAGCUGGAGGAAGCCAAUUGACUUCACGGCGGAAAAAGCGCUAAAGCCUCAAGGCCACGCGUGACUAUCCUGGAAAGUGCCACAGUGACGGAGCAAGUCGGGAAACCGGCUUGGUGGAACGAGGUAAACCCUGCGAGCGUGUAACCCAAAAUUUUUGGUAGGGGCGUCUCAGCUUAGGUAACUGAACUAAAAGCUGGACUACUACGGUAGAGAUAGAUGGCUGCUGAAGGCAACUAGUGCCAAAUGGUUGCUGGAACAAAACGUGGCUUAUAG